GACGAACGCUGGCGGCGUGCUUAACACAUGCAAGUCGAACGGAAAGGCUCCAGCUUGCUGGAGUACUCGAGUGGCGAACGGGUGAGUAACACGUGGGUAAUCUGCCCUGCACUCUGGGAUAAGCCUGGGAAACUGGGUCUAAUACUGGAUAUGACCUUUCUCCUUAUGGGGUUUGGUGGAAAGUUUUUCGGUGUAGGAUGAGCCCGCGGCCUAUCAGCUUGUUGGUGGGGUGACGGCCUACCAAGGCGACGACGGGUAGCCGGCCUGAGAGGGUGAUCGGCCACAUUGGGACUGAGAUACGGCCCAGACUCCUACGGGAGGCAGCAGUGGGGAAUAUUGCACAAUGGGCGGAAGCCUGAUGCAGCGACGCCGCGUGAGGGAUGACGGCCUUCGGGUUGUAAACCUCUUUCAGCAGGGACGAAGCGUAAGUGACGGUACCUGCAGAAGAAGCACCGGCUAACUAUGUG
rnacentral:rRNA from 1 species